rnacentral:rRNA from 1 species
AUGCCUGCAUAUUCGUGCACUUUGGGUGUACUUGCCCGUGUGUAAGUUAACAUCAAUUUUGGUGGUCAUAAAAUGGCUGGAGGAAUGUAGCUUCGAUCUUGUAUUGAAGUGUUAUAGCCUUCGGUAGAUGUGACGAUCGGGAUUGAGGAUUGCAACGGAUACCCUUCGGGGCUACCUGUCUGAUCUCUGAUUGUUGCUCUGGUGCCGAAAGCUUGCUUACGGUUAUCAAAGUCGAUGGUCAAUAGGUUAGAAUGGGUUAAA